rnacentral:rRNA from 1 species
CCUACGGGAGGCAGCAGUGAGGAAUAUUGGUCAAUGGGCGGGAGCCUGAACCAGCCAAGCCGCGUGAGGGAAGACGGCCCUAUGGGUUGUAAACCUCUUUUGUCGGAGAACAAACCCCGGCACGCGUCCCGGACUGCGUGUAUCCGACGAAAAAGGAUCGGCUAACUCCGUGCCAGCCGCCGCGGUAAUACGGAGGAUGCGAGCGUUAUCCGGAUUUAUUGGGUUUAAAGGGUGCGUAGGCGGUCCGUUAAGUCCGCGGUAAAAUGGCGGGGCUCAACCCGGGCGAGCCGUUGAAACUGGCAGACUUGAGUGGGCGAGAAGUACGCGGAAUGCGCGGUGUAGCGGUGAAAUGCAUAGAUAUCGCGCAGAACUCCGAUUGCGAAGGCAGCGUACCGGCGCCAGACUGACGCUGAGGCACGAAAGCGUGGGGAUCGAACAGGAUUAGAUACCCGAGUAGUC